GUCACAUCACCAUUAUUUUCUUUUCAUAUAACCUUUUUUGAAUAAAUUUUUUUUAUAAUAGGCUCUGUCCAAAAUAUAAAUAAAUAAAUAAAUUUUGUAGAAAAAGAUAACAAGCUAUUUUUAAUAAAAUAGUUUUAUGGAAAGCAUAAGAGUGCACAGGAACCUCUGAUGCAAAAAUGACUUAAAAUUUAGAGAUUCUGAAGAAAAUAGGAAAAUUUCGGAAGAAAUUGGAAAAACAACUUUAAUUAUGAUCAAGUGAGGAAGAAAUUUUUAGGUGUAAAAGGCUAAAUUUAACAAAUUAUACGCUCACCAAAAAUCUGGUGCAGAUACUCUUAGUAUAAAAAGUAAGGAUCUCCAACAUGUUUAACAAUAUUUGUGGUUAAAAGAAAAUGUUGAUCAUUACCAAAUACUGAGUUAAGUUUUAAUUUUUCACGGCCCAAAUUUUCUGAGUCAAGUAUUAAAUUGUUACAGACAAAUGAAUUUGGAAAUCGCCACCUAGGAACAGUAUUAUUUUAUAUUUGCAUCUGCAUCAUACCUUAAUGCAAUUGCUUUCUCAAUUUUUAAUGAUAUAAAUACUGGGCAAAAUAUUUCUAUUGAUUCUUUUGACGAUACUGUAAUUUCUGUGCAUUAUUUUACUAUUAUUUGAUAUUUAUUCUUGAAUAAUGGCUAGAUCAAGAUAUUAAUGCUAACAAAAAAAUGAAAACCCUACAUUUAUUAAUAAAAAUAUUUAUCUUCCUCUAUUUCUACUAUUAAAGGAAAAUAAUUAAAAAUGAUUGAAUCUGAAAGAACAGAUAUCCUAGGGUAAAUAUAUAUUAUAAUAAAUGAUAUUUUCUUUAAAAAAAUAGAUAUAUUAGAUUCAAAUAAAAUAGAAAAGCUUAAUCAUACACAUCAUAUGAUGGGGUAUUUAUGAAUCUUAUUUAAAUCAAAAGAAGAUAUUUUUAAAUUAAAAAAAACCAUUUUGUGAAAAUUAAGCUUCAUUUUAUGUAAAUUAUCACUAUUUUUAUAUUAUAUUAUAUUAUUUCUAUUACAGUUUUAUUAUAUAACUCAAAUAUAAUAAUU